rnacentral:sRNA from 1 species
UGAUCUGAGUUCUGCCGCAGAGGGGAUUGGACUGGUUUAAGGGACCCAGCCCCCUCAGGCCCUUCUCCCUCGCCGCGGCCCAGCCCCCUCGCAGCCAGAGUGGGGGCUCUGCAGGCUCUGGGUGUCUGCAGCCAGCGCCGAUGUUUGCCGUCCACAGGGGAGAAGCCGUUCCAGUGUGAGUUUGAGGGCUGCGACCGGCGCUUCGCCAACAGCAGCGACAGGAAGAAGCACAUGCACGUCCACACCUCCGAUAAGCCCUAUCUCUGCAAGAUGUGCGACAAGUCCUACACGCACCCCAGCUCGCUGCGGAAGCACAUGAAGGUCCAUGAGUCCUCCCCGCAGGGCUCUGAAUCCUCCCCGGCCGCCAGCUCCGGCUAUGAGUCGUCCACGCCCCCGGGGCUGGUGUCCCCCAGCGCCGAGCCCCAGAGCAGCUCCAACCUGUCCCCAGCGGCGGCGGCAGCAGCGGCGGCGGC